rnacentral:rRNA from 1 species
UAAGGAAUAUUGGUCAAUGGACGCAAGUCUGAACCAGCCAUGCCGCGUGGAGGAUGAAGGCCCUCUGGGUUGUAAACUUCUUUUAUUUGGGAAGAAACCACCGAUUUCUAUUGGUGUUGACGGUACCAGAUGAAUAAGCACCGGCUAACUCCGUGCCAGCAGCCGCGGUAAUACGGAGGGUGCAAGCGUUAUCCGGAUUCACUGGGUUUAAAGGGUGCGUAGGCGGGCAGGUAAGUCAGUGGUGAAAUCUUCGAGCUUAACUCGGAAACUGCCGUUGAUACUAUCUGUCUUGAAUAUUGUGGAGGUGAGCGGAAUAUGUCAUGUAGCGGUGAAAUGCUUAGAUAUGACAUAGAACACCCAUUGCGAAGGCAGCUCACUACGCAAAAAUUGACGCUGAGGCACGAAAGCGUGGGGAUCAAACAGGAUUAGAUACCCGCGUAGUCC